rnacentral:rRNA from 1 species
AGAGCGAACGCUGGCGGCAGGCUUAACACAUGCAAGUCGAGCGGAUGUAGCAAUGCAUCAGCGGCAGACGGGAGAGGAACACGUGGGAACGCGCCCUUUGGUUCGGAAUAACUCAGGGAAACUUGAGCUAAUACCGGAUAAGCCCUUACGGGGAAAGAUUUAUCGCCAAAGGAACGGCCCGCGUCCGAUUAGCUAGUUGGUGAGGUAAUGGCUCACCAAGGCGACGAUCGGUAGCUGGUCUGAGAGGAUGACCAGCCUCACUGGGACUGAGACACGGCCCAGACUCCUACGGGAGGCAGCAGUGGGGAAUUUUGCGCAAUGGGGGAAACCCUGACGCAGCAACGCCGCGUGGAGGAUGAAGCCCCUUGGGGUGUAAACUCCUUUCGACCAAGACGAUAAUGACGGUACUGGUGGAAGAGCACCGGCUAACUCUGCGCCAGCAGCCGC